rnacentral:rRNA from 1 species
CUGGCGGCGUGCCUAAUACAUGCAAGUCGAACGGUCUUUUCUAUGGAAGCUUGCUUCCACUGAGAAGAUAGUGGCGAACGGGUGAGUAACACGUGGGUAACCUGCCCAUAAGAGGGGGAUAACAUCCGGAAACGGGUGCUAAUACCGCAUAGUUUUCUUGAUCGCAUGAUCGGGAAAGGAAAGACGGCCUUUGUGCUGUCGCUUAUGGAUGGACCCGCGGCGUAUUAGUUAGUUAGGUGAGGUAACGGCUCACCAAGACGAUGAUACGUAGCCGACCUGAGAGGGUGUAUCGGCCACAUUGGGACUGAGACACGGCCCAAACUCCUACGGGAGGCAGCAGUAGGGAAUCUUCCGCAAUGGACGAAAGUCUGACGGAGCAACGCCGCGUGAGUGAAAGAAGGUUUUCGGAUCGUAAAACUCUGUUGUCAGAGAAGAACAAGUUGGAGAGUAACUGCUCCAGCCUUGACGGUAUCUGACCAGAAAGCCACGGCUAACUACGUGCCAGCCGCGGC